rnacentral:rRNA from 1 species
UACAUAGGUCCCAAGCGUUGUUCGGAUUCACUGGGCGUAAAGGGUGCGUAGGCGGUGGGGUAAGUCGGAUGUGAAAGCUCGGAGCUCAACUCCGAAAUGGCAUUGGAAACUACCCUGCUAGAGGAUUGGAGGGGGGACUGGAAUACUUGGUGUAGCAGUGAAAUGCGCAGAUAUCAGGAGGAACACCGGUGGCGAAGGCGGCCCUCUGGACGGAUACUGACGCUGAGGCGCGAAAGCGUGGGGAUCAAACAGG